rnacentral:lncRNA from 1 species
GGGCCCACCAAUGGCAAGGCCUCACGUGUUCUUAAUGUUAUUCCUAACAUAAUGAAACCUUUGGUGUUUGCUCUUUUCCACAAGUCCCUAAGAACACCUCUCUGCUGUUUCAAGGGAUAGCACACGUGACUUGUUUAGAACCACCUGGAGAGAUUUACAAAGUACACUUGCCUGGGUCUCUCUCCCAAAGAUUCUGGUUCAACUGGUUGAAAGUGCACCUGAGGCAUGGCUCCUGUUGCCUAAAGCUCGGGGGGGGUUUUUUUUUGUGUAAGGCAGCAGCUGGGCAAGCAUCCCUGUACAGAAGUAAGCCGACAACUAGAGCACAGGGAAGGUGAAGACCAUCAAGCCACAGAGCUCACAGCCACUGCAACAUCACCUCAUCUCCCCGCUUCAUGGAUGUCACCGCUGAGAAGGAAGCCAGAGCUGCAGCGCUGUGUCCUUAGAUCCUGCUGUUUUCUCCUGGAACCUUGUCUUAACUGCAUCGCAUUUAAGCUUGAGACUCCUUCUCGUUUGCCACCUUUCCUGGAGUUGAGUUCACUUCACUUCUGCAUCUGAAUCUCAACAGGAAAUCCGAAAUCACUGAGCCUGUGACAAAGGCAGCCAAUCAACAGCUCAGGAAGGAAAAAGCCCAUCUGGGGGAACUUAUACAGCAGACCCAGCCUAAGGGAAGUAAUAAAAGUUUGCUUCGUGCCUUUUCUCUACUGGCC